rnacentral:rRNA from 1 species
GACGAACGCUGGCGGCGUGCCUAAUACAUGCAAGUCGAGCGAAUCAAUAGGAGCUUGCUCCUGUUGGUUAGCGGCGGACGGGUGAGUAACACGUGGGCAACCUGCCUGUAAGACUGGGAUAACACCGGGAAACCGGUGCUAAUACCGGAUAAUCCUUUUCCUCACAUGAGGGAAAGCUGAAAGUCGGUUUCGGCUGACACUUACAGAUGGGCCCGCGGCGCAUUAGCUAGUUGGUGAGGUAACGGCGCACCAAGGCGACGCUGCGUGGCCGGCGCUAGAGGGUAGUCGCCCACCCUGGGACUGGAAAACGGGCCAGACUCCGACGGGGGGCAGCAGUAGGGAAUCGUCCAAGAUGGAAGAAAGGCUGAGUGACCAACGGCGCGUGGGCGAUGAAGGCCUUCGGGUCGUAAAGCUCUGUUGUUAGGGAAGAACAAGUACCGGAGUAACUGCCGGUACCUUGACGGUACCUAACCAGAAAGCCACGGCUAACUACGUGCCAGCAGCCGCCGUAACAC